GACGAACGCUGGCGGCGUGCUUAACACAUGCAAGUCGAACGGAAAGGCCCUGCUUUUGUGGGGUGCUCGAGUGGCGAACGGGUGAGUAACACGUGAGUAACCUGCCCUUGACUUUGGGAUAACUUCAGGAAACUGGGGCUAAUACCGGAUAGGAGCUCCUGCUGCAUGGUGGGGGUUGGAAAGUUUCGGCGGUUGGGGAUGGACUCGCGGCUUAUCAGCUUGUUGGUGGGGUAGUGGCUUACCAAGGCUUUGACGGGUAGCCGGCCUGAGAGGGUGACCGGCCACAUUGGGACUGAGAUACGGCGCAGACUCCUACGGGAGGCAGCAGUGGGGAAUAUUGCACAAUGGGCGGAAGCCUGAUGCAGCAACGCCGCGUGCGGGAUGACGGCCUUCGGGUUGUAAACCGCUUUCGCCUGUGACGAAGCGUAAGUGACGGUAAUGGGUAAAGAAGCACCGGCUAACUACGUG
rnacentral:rRNA from 1 species